UACGUAGGUGGCAAGCGUUGUCCGGAAUUACUGGGCGUAAAGCGCGCGUAGGCGGCUAAUUAAGUCGGGUGUGAAAGCCCCGGGCUCAACCUGGGAACUGCAUUUGUGACUGCAAGGCUAGAGUGCGGCAGAGGGGGAUGGAAUUCCGCGUGUAGCAGUGAAAUGCGUAGAUAUGCGGAGGAACACCGAUGGCGAAGGCAAUCCCCUGGGCCUGCACUGACGCUCAUGCACGAAAGCGUGGGGAGCAAACAGG
rnacentral:rRNA from 1 species